UACAGAGGGUGCAAGCGUUAAUCGGAAUUACUGGGCGUAAAGCGUGCGUAGUCGGUUAUUUAAGUCGGAUGUGAAAUCCCCGGGCUCAACCUGGGAAUUGCAUUCGAAACUGGAUAGCUAGAGUUCGGCAGAGGGAAGCGGAAUUUCUGGUGUAGCGGUGAAAUGCGUAGAUAUCAGAAGGAACAUCAGUGGCGAAAGCGGCUUCCUGGACCAGAACUGACGAUCAGGCACGAAAGCGUGGGGAGCAAACAGG
rnacentral:rRNA from 1 species